rnacentral:rRNA from 1 species
UACGGAGGAGGCAAGCGUUAUCCGGAAUUAUUGGGCGUAAAGCGUCCGCAGGUGGCACCUCAAGUCUGCUGUCAAAGACCGGGGCUUAACCCCAGAAAGGCAGUGGAAACUGAAGUGCUAGAGUGCAGUAGGGGUAGAGGGAAUUCCCGGUGUAGCGGUGAAAUGCGUAGAUAUCUGGAGGAACACCGGUGGCGAAGGCGGCAUCCUGGACCGAUACUGACGCUGAGGAGCGAAAGCCAGGGGAGCAAACGGG